rnacentral:tRNA from 3 species
UGAUUAGCUCAGUUGGUAGAGCAGCUGACUCUUAAUCAGCGGGUCGUAGGUUCGAUCCCUACAUCA